rnacentral:sRNA from 1 species
GUCAAUAACCCACCGCCGUCUAAAUUGAUAUUAAAUCAAUUUUGAGGCGGGGGCUUGGAUAUCUUUAUGAUAGAAGAGCCUUGUUGACUAUCCUAAGCGCUUUUGCACUACAUUAACUGAAUCAUCACACCCAUAGACGUUCGUCCUAAUCUGUGGCUCUGU